GAUGAACGCUGGCGGUGUGCCUAAUACAUGCAAGUCGAGCGAACAGACGAGGAGCUUACUCCUCUGACGUUAGCGGCGGACGGGUGAGUAACACGUGGAUAACCUACCUAUAAGACUGGGAUAACUUCGGGAAACCGGAGCUAAUACCGGAUAACAUGUUGAACCGCAUGGUUCAACAGUGAAAGACGGUCUUGCUGUCACUUAUAGAUGGAUCCGCGUCGCAUUAGCUAGUUGGUAAGGUAACGGCUCACCAAGGCAACGAUGCGUAGCCGACCUGAGAGGGUGAUCGGCCACACUGGAACUGAGACACGGUCCAGACUCCUACGGGAGGCAGCAGUAGGGAAUCUUCCGCAAUGGGCGAAAGCCUGACGGAGCAACGCCGCGUGAGUGAAGAAGGUCUUCGGAUCGUAAAACUCUGUUAUUAGGGAAGAACAAAUGUGUAAGUAACUAUGCACGUCUUGACGGUACCUAAUCAGAAAGCCACGGCUAACUACGUG
rnacentral:rRNA from 1 species